rnacentral:lncRNA from 11 species
UGUAGGAGUAUAUUUUUGCGCACACUGGAACCCAGAGGCAUACAUCCCGAUAUGAGAUUUAUUAGAGGCAGCUGAAGUAAGGAAGAGGCUAGAAGGAUAACUGAGAUGCCGCUUCUCAGUGAUGAGGAAAGAAUAUCUCAAAACACAAUUAGCCAGAUAAAUGUUAUGGACUACUACGGUAUGUAUCUCUCUGAUGGGUGGAAUGAAAUACAGUGGGAACUCGAUAUCCACUGGAGGUUGAUACCAAAAUCUGUGAACAUCACAUCAUGUCCAGAUAUAUAUAAUUUUGGAGAGACACAUACACAUGCAUUUGUCCCUCCACAUUUGUUACAAAUAGAAUUAUCACAGGAAGAAUUUAAAAAAUGGCAAAAGAUUCUAAAUAAUUUUUAUAACAGAGAUGAAAGAUCAAGGAUAAAUAAAAAGUUAUGGUAUAUAUCCCAGAAAGAAGGAGGAUUAGGUAUUCCAAACAUUAAUUUGUACUACAUUGCUGACCAGUUAAGACAUGUUCCAAAUAUUAUACACAGUAUUGAAACCUUGAUUUGGAGAUACUAUUGAUUUUUUUUUAUUCAAGAUAAUAAAUGUCUCAAAGAAAUAGAUAAAACCCAAUCAAUAGAACCAAAAUACAGAUUUGGCAAAAUAAAUACUUAAUCCUGGAAUAUCAUCACUGAUUACAGUUAUAGAACUAGGAAAAAUGUCAGAGAACCUUAAGACACAACUCACAAAGGACAUGGAAAGAGCCAGAGUAGCAAGACUAAAAGACUGGAUAAAUAAAGUCUCUAGAAAAGAAGAUAUAUUAGAAAUAUUUAAACAGAGUAGGAUAUAAUGUACUACAAUUGGAUUCAUGAAAUAAGAUUGAAUAAAACAUGGGAAAUGCAGACAAUUAACAAAAUUAAUAAUACAAUUAAAGCAGAAUGGUACAGAUGAAAUAACAAAAGGAUUAAUAAGUAAAAAUUAUUAAAUCAUGAUAUAAAGUGAUCCAAUACAAUUCGGAACAAAAAAAAACGUGAAGGGGACUUAGAAAUCAAUAUCACAGAGGAGGAAUAGUUAAAAAUUUGGAAACAAAGAAUUAUGAAAAAUAUGUCUGUUAUAAUUAAAGAGAAUUGUUAUAAAACAAUUUGGAGCUGGUACAUAACUCUAAUAAUGUAAACAACCUACAAAAUUGUUGGAGGUGGAAUAAGGAAACAGGGACUUAUAUACAUUUAUGGUGGGAGUGUGAAAAGAUUUUUAAAAAUUGGUAUAAAGUAUUUGUUGAAAUUAAUGACAUACUAUUGAUUAAUCUGUGGCUGCGGUGGUGCAGUGGGUUAAAACGGCAAGCUACAAAAUUUGCUGACUGGAAGGUCGGCAGUUCAAAUCUGCAAGACGGGGUGAGCUCCUGUUGUUAGCUCCAGCUUCUGCCAACCUAGUAGUUCAAAAACAUAUAAAUGUGAGUAGAUCAAUAGGUACCGUUUCAGUGGGAAGAUAACAGAGCUUCAUGCAGUCAUGCUGGUCACAUGACCUAGAGGGCAUUUAUGGACAAUGCAGGAUCUUUGACUUAGAAAUGAAGAUGAGCACCACCCCCCAGAGUCGGACUAGACUUAAUAUCAAGGGGAAACCUUUACCGUUACCUUUUAUUGAUUAAUCUUCAAAACCUCACAACCUCUGAGGAUGCCUGCCAUAGAUGUGGGUGAAACGUCAGGAGAGAAUACUUCUAGAACAUGGCCAUACAGCCUGUAAAACAUACAAGAACCCUGUGAUCCCGGCC